rnacentral:rRNA from 1 species
UUUGCCUACGGGGGGCAGCAGUGAGGAAUAUUGGUCAAUGGGCGGAAGCCUGAACCAGCCAAGUCGCGUGAGGGAAGAAGGCCCUGCGGGUCGCAGACCUCUUUGGACGGGGAGCAAGGCCGCCGACGUGUCGGCGGAAGGAGAGUACCCGAAGAACAAGCAGCGGCGAACUCCGUGACAGCAGACGCGGUAAUCCGGAGGAUGCGGGCGAUAUCCGGAGUUAUUGGGGUUAAAGGGUGCGCAGGCGGCACGGCAAGCCGGCGGUCGAAUCGCGUGGCACAACGCC